rnacentral:tRNA from 1 species
GUGGCCACCGCGCUGCGGAUCCUCGACGAGGACGGGCCUGACGCGCUCACCUUCCAGCGGCUGGGCAAGGAGCUGUCGUCCUCCGCGACCGCGGUCUACCGGUACUUCGCCAGUCGUGACCACAUCAUGGUCGGUGUCGCGGACGAGUUGGACCGGAUCUCCCUGGAGGGGUACGAGCCGCACGAGUCGUGGACCGAGUCGCUGCGCGACCUGGCGACCCGGGCCUGGGACACCGCGCUGGACCACCCGGCGGCCGCCGCGCUCUGCAUGGGCAGAGUCACCCGGGGCGUCCACGAACUGCGUGCCGUCGACGCCGUUCUGGAGGCGUUCCACCGCGGUGGCUGGCGCGGCCGGGCGGCCGUCCUGCACUACCAGGCGUUCUCGAACUUCCUGCUCUCCGUCGCCAGCAACAACGCCUGGCGGCUCGUCAACCAGAGGUUCGGCACCGAGGUGAACUGGGUGCAGGAGUACCAGCCGGCGGAUCCGGACGCGUACCCCUACGCCGAGGCGGCGAAGGACCAUCUGCGCAGCAUCGACAUGACCGACGUCUUCCACCGGCAGACGGACCUCGUCCUCACCGCCCUGGUGGCGGAGUCGGCGACCCUCCCACGCGACUGA